UACGGAGGGUGCAAGCGUUAUUCGGAUUUACUGGGCGUAAAGGGCGCGUAGGCGGUCGUAUAAGUCAGAUGUGAAAGCCCGGGGCUCAACCCCGGAAGUGCAUUUGAUACUGUACGACUUGAGUAUGGGAGAGGGAAGUGGAAUUCCUGGUGUAGAGGUGAAAUUCGUAGAUAUCAGGAGGAACACCGGUGGCGAAGGCGACUUCCUGGACCAAUACUGACGCUGAGGCGCGAAGGCGUGGGUAGCAAACAGG
rnacentral:rRNA from 1 species